rnacentral:rRNA from 1 species
GCAGUCGAGCGGAUGAAGAGAGCUUGCUCUCUGAUUUAGCGGCGGACGGGUGAGUAAUGCCUAGGAAUCUGCCUGGUAGUGGGGGAUAACGUUCCGAAAGGAACGCUAAUACCGCAUACGUCCUACGGGAGAAAGCAGGGGACCUUCGGGCCUUGCGCUAUCAGAUGAGCCUAGGUCGGAUUAGCUAGUUGGUGAGGUAAUGGCUCACCAAGGCGACGAUCCGUAACUGGUCUGAGAGGAUGAUCAGUCACACUGGAACUGAGACACGGUCCAGACUCCUACGGGAGGCAGCAGUGGGGAAUAUUGGACAAUGGGCGAAAGCCUGAUCCAGCCAUGCCGCGUGUGUGAAGAAGGUCUUCGGAUUGUAAAGCACUUUAAGUUGGGAGGAAGGGCAUUAACCUAAUACGUUAGUGUUUUGACGUUACCAACAGAAUAAGCACCGGCUAACUUCGUGCCAGCAGCCGCGGUAAUACGAAGGGUGCAAGCGUUAAUCGGAAUUACUGGGCGUAAAGCGCGCGUAGGUGGUUCGUUAAGUUGGAUGUGAAAGCCCCGGGCUCAACCUGGGAACUGCAUCCAAAACUGGCGAGCUAGAGUACGGUAGAGGGUAGUGGAAUUUCCUGUGUAGCGGUGAAAUGCGUAGAUAUAGGAAGGAACACCAGUGGCGAAGGCGACUACCUGGACUGAUACUGACACUGAGGUGCGAAAGCGUGGGGAGCAAACAGGAUUAGAUACCCUGGUAGUCCACGCCGUANACGAUGUCAACUAGCCGUUGGAAUCCUUGAGAUUUUAGUGGCGCAGCUAACGCAUUAAGUUGACCGC